AUUGAACGCUGGCGGCAUGCUUUACACAUGCAAGUCGAACGGUAACAGGUUAAGCUGACGAGUGGCGAACGGGUGAGUAAUGCAUCGGAACGUGCCCGAUCGUGGGGGAUAACGCAGCGAAAGCUGCGCUAAUACGGCAUACGAUCUGAGGAUGAAAGCGGGGGACCGUAAGGCCUCGCGCGAUCGGAGCGGCCGAUGUCAGAUUAGGUAGUUGGUGGGGUAAAGGCUCACCAAGCCGACGAUCUGUAGCUGGUCUGAGAGGACGACCAGCCACACUGGGACUGAGACACGGCCCAGACUCCUACGGGAGGCAGCAGUGGGGAAUUUUGGACAAUGGGCGCAAGCCUGAUCCAGCAAUGCCGCGUGCAGGAAGAAGGCCUUCGGGUUGUAAACUGCUUUUGUACGGAGCGAAAAGGCUCUCUCUAAUACAGGGGGCUCAUGACGGUACCGUAAGAAUAAGCACCGGCUAACUACGUGCCAGCCGCCGCGGUAA
rnacentral:rRNA from 1 species